rnacentral:lncRNA from 1 species
CUCCUUGCGGGGUGAGCACGCGGCUCUAGGCUGUUGUUAUGACUCAGCAAUCAGAAUUUCAAGUUCAGGCUGCCUAGUCCACACACACCUCCAGGGUUGCAGCUCCCAGAGCCCCUUUCUGCACUUGAACUUGCUAAGAGAUCUUCCUGGCUUCCUUUAAAGGUUCUCAGGAACCACGUUUGUUGCAGAAGAAAAGAGAUAUUCAGUAAACUCCAAGCUACUACCAACUCAUUCUUUCAUCAAAUACAACCAUACAUGUAUUUCUUCUGGGUAACCUCAGACUCUUCACUGGCAACACUGACAUAUUACCUCUGCUGAACGGAAGCUUCUCG